rnacentral:rRNA from 1 species
UAGGGAAUCUUCCGCAAUGGCCGCAAGUCUGACGGAGCAACGCCGCGUGAGUGAAGAAGGAUUUCGGUUCGUAAAACUCUGUUGUUAGAGAAGAACAGCGCAUAGAGUAACUGUUAUGCGUGUGACGGUAUCUAACCAGAAAGCCACGGCUAACUACGUGCCAGCAGCCGCGGUAAUACGUAGGUGGCAAGCGUUGUCCGGAUUUAUUGGGCGUAAAGCGAGCGCAGGCGGUCAAUUAAGUCUGAUGUGAAAGCCCCCGGCUCAACCGGGGAGGGUCAUUGGAAACUGGUUGACUUGAGUGCAGAAGAGGAGAGUGGAAUUCCAUGUGUAGCGGUGAAAGGCGUAGAUAUAUGGAGGAACACCAGUGGCGAGGGCGACUCUCUGGUCUGUAACUGACGCUGAGGCUCGAAAGCGUGGGUAGCAAACAGG